ACACCCGUAUAUUUUUUCAAGAUGCUGAGUACAGUGUCUCCGCGUAGAGUAAGCGCUCGAUGAUCACUACUCUUGCUGAUGAAGCGGAAAGAGCUGUCAAGUGCAACGCAGACACGGAUGAGCAUGCGUAUUUAGAAAAAGGAGGGAGAUUGUAGUAGGAAUACGCAAAAACUUCCUGGAUCCACCUAGAAGGUCGGCCCAGGACUGCGUCAGAGAUUUUCCAUUUUCACGUCUGCGUCAGAGAUUUUCCAUCUGUUAUGGUAGUACACUCGAGGGAGUGAGAAUUUCAACAAUAAAUUGAGUGUUUGUCAUAGACUUGCGGGAAACUGAUACAGAUUCAAAGCAGGAAGGCCUGGCAGGUUAUUCACUCUGAAAUCUGGUUUCCUUUAACUGUUUCUCUCAAAUUCCUCACAAGCCGAGAUGAUAUUUUAGGAAUAAUAGAUAAUCAAAUAAACAUUCUCUUUGCCGAUAA